UACGUAGGGUGCGAGCGUUAAUCGGAAUUGCUGGGCGUAAAGCGUGCGCAGGCGGUUUGUCAAGUCGGAUGUGAAAUCCCCGGGCUUAACCUGGGAAUUGCGUUCGAAACUAGCAGGCUAGAGUGCGGCAGAGGGGGGUAGAAUUCCACGUGUAGCAGUGAAAUGCGUAGAGAUGUGGAGGAAUACCGAUGGCGAAGGCAGCCCCCUGGGUCGACACUGACGCUCAUGCACGAAAGCGUGGGGAGCAAACAGG
rnacentral:rRNA from 1 species